GACAACUUGGCCGAGUGGUUAAGGCGACGCCCUGCUAAUUUGCGAAGGUUGCUCGAUCUUCAGAAGAUAGGCGUUGUCCUUUGGACGCGCAGGUUCGAAUCCUGCAGUUGUCG